rnacentral:rRNA from 1 species
UACGUAGGGUGCGAGCGUUGUCCGGAAUUAUUGGGCGUAAAGAGCCCGUAGGCGGCCUGUCGCGUCGGAUGUGAAAGCCCGGGGCUUAACCCCGGGUCUGCAUUCGAUACGGGCAGGCGUAGAGUUCGGUAGGGGAGAUCGGAAUUCCUGGUGUGAGCGGGUGGAAAUGCGCAGAUAUCAGGAGGAACACCGGUGGCGAAGGCGGAUCUCUGGGCCGAUACUGACGCUGAGGAGCGAAAGCGUGGGGAGCGAACAGG